CACUUUAGCCAUCUUUUCUGACUAAGCUUGACUUUUACUAUGCAAGUAAAAGUCAAGCUUAGUCAGAAAAGAUGGCUAAAGUGAGAUUUUUU
rnacentral:pre_miRNA from 1 species